GGGGCCCUGGAGAGCGGUGCGCGGCCGCAGACCCUGGCUGUCGCUGCUGGCUUUAGUGUGUCCGGCCUUUCAGAGACCACAAACUCAGGCAACGGGCUCGGUGGGCGCAUCCAGCUAUCGGAGGAUCCUGAAAUAGAAGGAUAUUGCCUGGACUGAUGGUCUUGAAGCCUCUUGCAACAAUUGAAAUAAGACAUUCUUAACUCCAUGGAGACAAAUGGAUGAAUCAGUUCACAGAUUAUCAUUAUGUUCGUGUUGAGAGGAAGUCGGGUGACAAAAUAUGGCAGGCCACUUCUGCCUGUCUCAUCACUCCCAGUGUCUUUUGUAGCACCUAAACCUGAGAUGAUCCUCCCAGCUACAGGAAGCUGGAGAACAGCCUUAGCCCAGCUACAGGAAUGAAGAAAACUUCCCGGGAAAUGGGGAAACAAAGGCCAUCUGCCAGCACCAACCUGGGAGGAUUCACACCCACUUGUGCCUUGGGUAGCAGGCCAACUGACCUAAGUCCCGACUGUGGACUGCCGACCUGGCUUCAGCCCCUCUUAGCUACGGUCUGGGAUCGGUCCUGCUUACCCGAGGACCCAGCAGAACUGACACUCCUCUGUGUCCCUAGAGGCAUUGGUUUGACUGUGGAUCCUGAUGCAGCCCUGUGACCUGGCUCCAGCCUUGCUUGGUAUAAUCCAUGGGAAGUCCUGCCUACUCAGAACCUGAUAGAAAGCAUGCCUGUCCAUAACCCUGAGGCAGGUCUGCAGACCUUGGGCACAGUUCUGUGACCUGGUUUGAGCCUCAUCCAAUUGCGGUCUGGGGCCAGUCUUGUUCACCCAGUGACCUGCCUGGUGAUGCAGCACGAACAUUCCCAGGGACAUGGUGGGAUUCAGAGCUUUCUGCACACUUGGAGACAGGCCCACUCUCUGCAAACACAACUGCAGACCCGAAGUGGACCACCCUUGUCCCAGCACCAGCCCUACUACCAACGUCCUGGAGGCAGUCUGGUCCUCUUGGGAAACAGGCAGGAUUUACAACCACCUAAGCUCUUGGUAGCAGGACCCCACUAUGGACCCAGCUUCAAGUCCACUCAACUGCAAUACCAGAGACAAUUCCAUCAUCCAGGGAUCUGAAAGAUCUUUUCCUGGCAAAGCCAGUGUGUAGAGACUGAAAGAGGUGUUUACUCCUUCAAAUGCUCAAGAAAAGAGAUACCAAUACAAGGCUACAUAGAUAAUGAAAAAUCAGGUAAACAUGACACCAUCAAAGGAAAUUAAUAAAGCUCCAGUAGCCAACCACAAAGAAAUGGAAAUUUAUAAAUUGCCUGACAAGGAAUUCACAAUAAUCAUCUUAAAGAAGCUCAGCAAGAGGCAAAAGGACAUAGACAACUAAAUAAAAUCAAGAAAGCAUUAUAUGAACAAAAUGACAAGUUUAUUAAAGAAAUAGAAACCAUAAAGAAUGAACCAAACAAAUCCUGAACCUGAACAAUACAAUGAUUGAAGUGAAAAACUCCAUUGAGAGUUUCAAUAAUGAGAGGCUUGAUCAUGCAGAAGAAAGAGUUAGCUAACUUGGAGACAAGUCAUUUGAAAUCAGCAUGGUGACUAUAGUUAAUAAUACUCCUUUGCAUAUUUGAAAUUUGCUAAGAGAGUAGAACUUAAGUGUUCUCACCACAAGCCAAACAUGGUAACUAUGCGAAAUGAUGGAUGUGUUCAUUAGCUUAUUUGUGGUAAUCAUUUCUCAAUGUGUACAUGUAUCAAAUAUCACAUUGUACAUCUCAAAUAUAUGCAAUUUUUAUCUGUCAAUUAUACCUCAGUAAAGCUGGAAAAAAAACCCGAAGAGAAAUAUGUAUUAUAAUGGAAUAUCAGAAGAUUCAAGAUUUGGCCACUCAUUAAGUGUCCAGCAACGCUCUCAUGUUUUCAGAAACUCAACUCUAUAAAGUUGCCAAGGGGCUUUGGUUAGAACCUCUGCCUCAUAGUUAGUGGGUGAUGCCUGAUUGGCGGGGGGCCCGUGGUUGUAGAAGUCUCUUGAAAGCACAUGGCCUUUGUGAAGUUUCCCUCCUGCAUCAGAGAGGUCCGUGGUGUGGCCUGUCUCAUCUCUACCUCCUGCAGGCCUCAGCACAGAGCCCAAGAUCAGAUCAGAAAAUUGGGCCCUAUCAUCAGAAGGCUGGAUUAUUGAACCCUCUCUCCUAAGGAGGCAUGUACAUAUACUGAAAAUGGCAGUUCUUGGCUUUCACAGGGAGAUUAUAAGAGAUAGGUCAAGUGACGUUGGAACUGGUAGCCUCUGUUUUAUUUCCAUAGGGCUGACCAGGAUGGAACUUGGGUGGGCAAUGUGUAUGCGUAAGCUGGUUGAAGACAGUGAACUAGAAUGUUUGAAGAGCACACAUAGGUUUCUUUAACUUCAUGGUUUAAAAUCCCUGGGAGUUCUGUUGAAUCCUGUCAAAGUGGGGAAUAGAAGGGUUUGGAGGCCCAGUGUACUACUCAGUCAAAGCAGCUUACUUACCUGUCCCCUAUGCAUUUUGCAUUUGAUUCCAUGUAAA